rnacentral:misc_RNA from 1 species
AGCAGCCGCGGUAAUUCCAGCUCCAAUAGCGUAUAUUAAAGUUGUUGCAGUUAAAAAGCUCGUAGUUGAAUUUCGGGAUCAAUAUGCUGGUCGUGCCAUUGGUACGUACUAGUAUUAUUGGUUUCUCCUUUCUGAUGAAUCAUGAUGUCAUUAAUUUGAUGUCAUGAGGAAUCAGGACUGUUACUUUGAAAAAUUAGAGUGUUUAAAGCAGGCUCGCGCUUGAAUACAUUAGCAUGGAAUAAUGAAAUAGGAUGUUUGAUUCUAUUUUGUUGGUUUCUAGGAUUGACGUAAUGAUUAAUAGGGAUAGUUGGGGGCAUUAGUAUUCAAUUGUCAGAGGUGAAAUUCUUGGAUUUAUUGAAGACUAACUACUGCGAAAGCAUUUGCCAAGGAUGUUUUCAUUAAUCAAGAACGAAAGUUAGGGGAUCGAAGACGAUCAGAUACCGUCGUAGUCUUAACCAUAAACCUAUGCCACUAGGAAUCAGACGAUGUUAAUUUUAA